UUAUUGUUUUGUUAAUAGCGGUUAUGUAUAUUAUGUAUUUUCAACAAAUCAACAAAUACAGUAAUAGAUAUGUGGAGGAGCGUAAAAUAAAAACAUGAUACAAAAUAUAGUUAUUGACGUACAGGUUUACGGUGUUGGUAAUAAUAUUGUAAUAUCGUUAUGCUAAGUAGUAUAAAAUAGAGAGUUCCACCCCAGGUUCCCCGUCUGUGAUACAUUAUAUACAUUAUAUACACACACACAUACACUCACACCAUCUAUUAUUAUAAUUUAACAAAAUAAUAUUACUCAUACGCAAGUUGUUACCUAUACGCAGUAUAACCGUCGUCACAAUCCCUGUCUGCUCCUUCCCGCAUAAUACGAAAUAUAUUCGUAUACCUAUACGAAAUACAAUCGUCGGCGACAACGGACCUCUUCACCACUCCUUCCUACCUAUUACGACAUCAAUUUUUUACAAGAUUUCCAAUACGUCAUUUAAAAAUUAAGAAUACGUAACACCGGUGCCACCGGCGGAUCUUAUCGACUGCAAUAGCUACACGCUUAGGUUCACAAAACUUAAGUUCGCGGAUAUAGGUGUCGACCCGACAGACACGUUCUCCGUCAAAGAACAGAUAAUAACUCCGUCACGUAACGUCAAACCAUUAUCAGACGCUCCAAAACAAAUUAUUACACUGAUGAUCGAAAUCCAAACAAGCAGACGCGAAACACCAAACUACAAGUCACAUAAAUUUCUGGAAACCGCAAUAUUCGAGUUAUCGCGUUAUGCGUAAAAAAACGAAACCGUUCUUGUAAUCCAAUCGAAGUCCGCUACAGACUGCCGUACCACAUUAAAUAGUCAAGAUUUAAUCGCGCUCCAAAAUUCGAAACCGUUAAGUUUCGAGACAGUGGCACGGAAAACCGCCAUCAGCCGAUCAUCACCAAAGAAACAAUUCAAUCAGACUGUUCAUUAUAUAGUAGAAGAAUUUACCAGAAUGACAACAUAACUACCAGCGGAUAUGAAUGGAAUACUAAUGUUUAUGAAAAGUCUUCAAGAUGAACAAAUCGUAUCCUCCUUGACGAAACACGACGUUAGUGAUGCCAGUCAAAUAAGGAUGUACGCGACAACUCGAUUACCAGAGUGCUAAUAAACAAAUAUUUACCUACAUACAUUUAAUCUUUUUAUUCACAAAAAAAAAAAAAAACCCUACUGUUAAGGUUAUGUAAAUGUAGCAUAAUGCUUAAAACUGGUUGAAGCUGGGUAGUUGAACUGCAGAAUCCAAUUCUUCAUCCAUCUCUUCCUUCGGUCCCGGUGGCGUUGCGGAUCGCCGUGGCCGAAUCCUCUCACGGCAUACGUCGGCGGCGGCGUCAAACAACCAGGCGACGUCGGGGAACAGUCGGGGUGACGUUGGUAUAAUCGUAAAGCUACUCGAGCUAUGCAUAAUCGUCCGAUACUGAUGGUUGACUCAUGUCGCUUUUCCGUACGACCGCCUCGAAAAUUAACAGUUUCAAAUUUCGGAGCGCGAUUAAAUCCUGUCUACUUAAUGAGACACGGCAGUCGGUAGCGUACUUCAACUCGAUUGCAAGAUCGUUUUCGUUUUUGUACGCAUAACGCGAUAACAAGAAUAUUGCGGUUUCCAGAAAUAUAUGUUACUUGUAUUUUGGGGUUCCGCGUCUGUUUGAUUGGAUUUCGUCCACCAGCGAAAUUAUUUGUUUUGGAACGUCCAAUGAUGGUUCGACAUAACAUGACGGAGUUAUUAUCUGUACUUAGACGGAGAAAGUGUGUGUCGGGUCGACAUCUAUAUCCGCGAACUCACGUUCUCUGAAGCUAAGCAUAUAGUUAAUGCGGUCGACAAGACCCGCCGGCGGCACCGGUGCUACGUAUUCGUAAUUUUUAAAUUACAUAUUCAAACGCUUGUAAAAAUUGAUAAACACUCCGUAAUGAAUAAAAUCAAACGCCAUGAUCGCCGGGCAACGACGACUUGCUUCAGCGACCGGAGCACGAAAAA